AAGUCGUAACAAGGUUUCCGUAGGUGAACCUGCGGAAGGAUCAUUAACACGUAUCCAAACGUUAAAAACCCUGUGAACUUUCAUGCAGCUCCCGUAACCCGCAAGGAACAGCAAUCCCGGUAAAUCAUUGUUGAACAGUUUUGAUUCGGGACCUCUGUACAGUUACGGUCGUAGCUUAGAGUCAGUGGCAUGGCUUCCCCAAGCAGUAGUGAAAUGACAUUGUCACUGUCUGUGUAAGGAUAACGCCUCACGGUUGCUAGAGGUCGAUCACCGGCCGGCAAACAUGUCACAGGGCUAUAUGCCCCCUAACCACCCCUUGCACGAAUGUCUCGCCUAGUGGUCACGCGCUUGGCACCAAAACGAACAACUGUUAACAAUGGAUAUCUUGGUUCUC
rnacentral:misc_RNA from 1 species